CUUAAUUUCAGUUCCUUUUUAUUUAUCCUGCUUAGAAACGGCAAAAGAACGUCAGAUGAGGAAUAUGGAGGAGGAGAAACAAGAAGUGGGGAGAAGGGAGAUAAUUUUUCUUUUCUUUUUUUUUUUUGAAACACAGUCUUACUCUGUCGCCCAGGGCAGGAGAAUGGCGUGAACCCGGGAGGCGGAGCU
rnacentral:lncRNA from 10 species